rnacentral:rRNA from 1 species
ACUCCCACAAACCAUCGCGAAUCUUACCCGUACGGUUGCCUCGGCGCUGGCGGUCCGGAAGGCCCUCGGGCCCCCCGGAUCCUCGGGUCUCCCGCUCGCGGGAGGCUGCCCGCCGGAGUGCCGAAACCAAACUCUUGAUAUUUUAUGUCUCUCUGAGUAAACUUUUAAAUAAGUCAAAACUUUCAACAACGGAUCUCUUGGUUCUGGCAUCGAUGAAGAACGCAGCGAAAUGCGAUAAGUAAUGUGAAUUGCAGAAUUCAGUGAAUCAUCGAAUCUUUGAACGCACAUUGCGCUCGCCAGUAUUCUGGCGAGCAUGCCUGUUCGAGCGUCAUUUCAACCAUCAAGCUCUGCUUGCGUUGGGGAUCCGCGGCUGCCCGCGGUCCCUCAAAAACAGUGGCGGGCUCGCUAGUCACACCGAGCGUAGUAACUCUACAUCGCUAUGGUCGUGCGGCGGGUUCUUGCCGUAAAACCCCCCAAUUUCCAGUCGACCACGGUCUG